rnacentral:rRNA from 1 species
ACAGUGUCUGGUGGGUAGUUUGACUGGGGCGGUCUCCUCCUAAAGAGUAACGGAGGAGCACGAAGGUUGGCUAAUCCUGGUCGGACAUCAGGAGGUUAGUGCAAUGGCAUAAGCCAGCUUGACUGCGAGCGUGACGGCGCGAGCAGGUGCGAAAGCAGGUCAUAGUGAUCCGGUGGUUCUGAAUGGAAGGGCCAUCGCUCAACGGAUAAAAGGUACUCCGGGGAUAACAGGCUGAUACCGCCCAAGAGUUCAUAUCGACGGCGGUGUUUGGCACCUCGAUGUCGGCUCAUCACAUCCUGGGGCUGAAGUAGGUCCCAAGGGUAUGGCUGUUCGCCAUUUAAAGUGGUACGCGAGCUGGGUUUAGAACGUCGUGAGACAGUUCGGUCCCUAUCUGCCGUGGGCGCUGGAGAAUUGAGGGGGGCUGCUCCUAGUACGAGAGGACCGGAGUGGACGCAUCACUGGUGUUCGGGUUGUCAUGCCAAUGGCACUGCCCGGUAGCUAAAUGCGGAAGAGAUAAGUGCUGAAAGCAUCUAAGCACGAAACUUGCCCCGAGAUGAGUUCUCCCUGACUCCUUGAGAGUCCUGAAGGAACGUUGAAGACGACGACGUUGAUAGGCCGGGUGUGUAAGCGCAGCGAUGCGUUGAGCUAACCGGUACUAAUGAACCGUGAGG